rnacentral:rRNA from 1 species
AUUGAACGCUGGCGGCAGGCCUAACACAUGCAAGUCGAACGAGUGGCGGACGGGUGAGUAAUGUCUGGGAAACUGCCUGAUGGAGGGGGUUAACUACUGGAAACGGUAGCUAAUACCGCAUACCCUCAGAUGUGCCCAGAUGGGCUGAGCUAGUUGGUGGGGUAACGGCUCACCAAGGCGACGAUCCCUAGCUAGUCUGAGAGGAUGACCAGCAAAACUGGAACUGAGACACGGUACAGACUCCUACGGGAGGAAGAAGUGGGGAAUAUUGCACAAUGGGCGCAAGCCUGAUACAGCCAUGCCGCGUGUAUGAAGAAGGCCUUCGGGUUGUAAAGUACUUUAAGCGGGGAGGCAUUACCCGCAGAAGAAGCACCGGCUAACUCCGUGCAAGCAGCCGCGGUAAUUC